UGCAAACAGAGUUCCGACCGGAGACGGGAGGAAUGCUUUUAUUAGAUCAAAACCAAUCGGCGGCGGGCGCGUCGCGCGCCCGUUCGCCGCUCAACCUGGUGACUCUGAAUAACUUUCGGCUGAUCGCACGGUCCAGCACCGGCGACGCAUCUUUCAAAUGUCUGCCUUAUCAACUGUCGAUGGUAGGUUCUGCGCCUACCAUGGUCGUAACGGGUAACGGGGAAUCAGGGUUCGAUUCCGGAGAGGGAGCCUGAGAAACGGCUACCACAUCCAAGGAAGGCAGCAGGCGCGCAAAUUACCCACUCCCGGCACGGGGAGGUAGUGACGAAAAAUAACGAUACGGGACUCAUCCGAGGCCCCG
rnacentral:rRNA from 1 species